ensembl:lncRNA
UGUAAAGCCUGUCUGCAGGAGACUAAAGGAACUUUGGGAAUGUCCACUUUACAGGAAGAGGUUGUGAAAAUCAUCCUAACGUGGCCUUGAGAAACCAGUGUGAGGCCUUCUCACCGUCCCAGCUAGAAACUCAGAGGACGUUUGAGAUGUUCUGCAGUCUGCACGGAGAGAAAUUCAAGCUCUUCUGUCUGGAGGAUAAACAGCCUGCCUGUGUGGUGUGGCAGACUGCCAAACUACACACCAACCAUACUACACACCAACCAUACUUCACACCAACCAUACUACACACCAACCAUACUACACACCAACCAUACUACACACCAACCAUACUACACACCAACCAUACUACACACCAACCAUACCACACACCAACCAUACUACACACCAACCAUACUACACACCAACCAUACUACACACCGCCCCGUAGAUGAAGCUGUUCUGGAUCACAAGAGCCCGGCCCAGGGCACAUAGUGGAGCAGAUUAAUGAGGAAGAGGAGGCCAGGACAGCUGCACUGAAGGAGGAAGAGGAGGCUAGGACAGCUGCACUGAACGAGGAAGAGGAGGCCAGGACAGCUGCACUGAAGGAGGAAGAGGAGGCCAGGACAGCUGCACGUACCUAUAGCAAAACAACCAUGGUCAAAAUUAACUGGAGUUAAACGGACCUAUAGCAAACCAACCAUGGUCAAAUGAACUGGUUAAACGGACCUAUAGCAAACCAACCAUGGUCAAAUGAACUGGUUAAACGGAC